GUACUUCCCUAAAUACCAGUUAAGAUGACGGGAACAAGAGAGACGGCUUGAAUGCCAAUUUGAUAUUGUAGGAGCUGUGAGAAGCGUUUAGAUCUAAGUAGGACUCUUGUCAUAGGCCAAGGAUCAGCCUCUUCCACGUUGGAGAGCUACUGAUGACCAAACUGGUAAUGUUGCAUGUUAAGUACUGUGAUUAUACCUCGAUGAAGGUGUGUCUUGACAUGCUAGCGCUUAACAUGAUGGUUGGGUCGAAAGACCCAAAAGGCCACCAGGUUGCCAUGAAGUCAAAGAAAAAUAUAGCUAUAUAGAUCGUAGUGGAGCUCUGUCAUGACUAAUUCAUUGCUUAAACCACACUUUGAUCUUUGUGAACUUCUAAGUCUUUUUAAUUGUUUUCAAACCAUUUAACUUUAUUUUAUUGUUUUAACAAAAAAGAUUUAUUUUAUUUUCUUGCAAACAAUUUAUUAACUGAACCUUAGUAUGUGUAAAUAGCUAACAAUAUGUGUAAUACUCUUAGUCUAACUGGUUGUAUGUGAUUUAUGUUAUUAAUUGUCUUUCGUCGGUAGCCCAUCCCGUAUAAGUCUCCACGCAAAAAUAAAGAUCUUCAAGGGUACCUCUUUAUGUCAAAUAAGAUCCAAAACUUCAUCAACAGAAUGCUCCUCUCGAUCGGUGAGGAAUUUACCUAUUUCAUUUUAUUACUAAGGUAUUAGAGUAAAAAUACAUCAUUUUACCUUCUAUGAAAUUUCAAAACUAAAAAAAAUAAAAGAUACAAUUAUUGUAUGACAACACAUGGAGCAUUAU
rnacentral:lncRNA from 1 species